AUUGAACGCUGGCGGCAUGCCUUACACAUGCAAGUCGAACGGUAACAGGUCUUCGGAUGCUGACGAGUGGCGAACGGGUGAGUAAUACAUCGGAACGUGCCUAGUAGUGGGGGAUAACUACUCGAAAGAGUGGCUAAUACCGCAUGAGAUCUACGGAUGAAAGCAGGGGGUCGCAAGACCUUGUGCUACUAGAGCGGCCGAUGGCAGAUUAGGUAGUGGGUGGGAUAAAAGCUUACCAAGCCGACGAUCUGUAGCUGGUCUGAGAGGACGAUCAGCCACACUGGGACUGAGACACGGCCCAGACUCCUACGGGAGGCAGCAGUGGGGAAUUUUGGACAAUGGGCGAAAGCCUGAUCCAGCAAUGCCGCGUGCAGGAUGAAGGCCUUCGGGUUGUAAACUGCUUUUGUACGGAACGAAAAGCCCUGGGUUAAUACCCUGGGGUCAUGACGGUACCGUAGGAAUAAGCACCGGCUAACUACGUGCCAGCCGCCGCAGUAACAC
rnacentral:rRNA from 1 species